GGAACAAGAGGGACAGAGGUUGCUUGCGCAAAUGUAGCUAAUUUGGUCUUCGGUGUCAAGCAUCAUCUAAAAAGAAAAGAAAAGAAAAGAAAUGAAAAGAAAAAGGAACGGUAAAGUGAAGAAGAAGUGAUUUGGGAUGAGAGAAUGUGGUUGUUAAGCCCAACCAAGCAGAUUUAUCUCAUGUCUAAAACUCUGCUGAAGCUGAGAGAGGUGAAUAUGGUGAAGAUUGUAGCUGUCAGAGCCUACUGGAUCGAAGAAUACAGUCUUUGACAGCAAAAUCUUGCUCAGCCAAAUAAAUGUGAAGAAGCAUGAGAUAGUCGUAGCAGAAACUGUUUCUGAGUUUUGUUCUUUUCAUCUUCUGCUUUGAGUUUUUAUUUCUGAUGCUGCCGAUCGUGAUAUUGGCAAGACGGCUCAAUCUGUUAGCUUUCUUAUAGCUUUAUAUAUAUUAUCAUCUGUUUUUCUUCUCUUUGUUCUUCUUGUCUCUUUGUUCUUGGAUCAAUGUUAAUAUGCAAGAAGAAGUGGAGAUUAACUAAUGCCAAAGAAAAUAGUAUUUCUAUUGAUUUGUUGUUA